rfam:Duck hepatitis B virus complete genome
UGCCAAGGUAUCUUUACGUCUACAUUGCUGUUGUCAGCCUUGACUGUACCUUUGGUA